AUAGGGAAUAGGGCUCUGGGUCAAAAGUAGUAGGCACUAUAUAGGGAAUAGGGGCUCUGGUCUAAAGUAGUACAAAUAAGGAAACGGGCUCUGCUAAAAGUAAAGUACACUAAGGAAUAGGGCUCUGGCUAAAGAGUAACACUAAGGAAUAGGGCUCUGGUCUAAAGUAGUGUACUACAUAGGGAAGAGGCUCUGGUCUAAAGUAUGCACUACAUAGGGAAUAGGGUGCCAUAGGGCUCUGGUCAAAGUAGUGCACUACAUAGGGAAUGGGCCCUGGUCUAUAGUAGUGCACUAUAAGGAAUAGGGUGCCAUUUGGGAUGCAGGUGACGUCUCUGGUGGUUUGUUUGGCCGCAAACUAAACACAUUUUCCUUUAAGGAAACUUCAUUUUAGGCAAAUGCACCCUUUUUUUAAAAAGGUUAAAACAAAUUAAGAUAAGACUUUUUCAGUUUUGUUUUGUUAGAAGAUGGUAAUACAUGUCUAGCAAGUUGCUUUGAAAAUACAUUUCUUUGGGCAUCUAGAAUAGUUUUUUCCUUCCAUCUAAACUAUUUUAGUCCUCCAAAGCAUUUCUCCGUUGUUAAUUAAGCAAUGUAUCUGGACAAUAACACAUUACAAGACCCUGCCAAGUAGACUGAUAAAAGGCUUCCUAACCAACUAGGUGGAAAUGCCAUUAUCAUAUGUUUUCCAUAUUAAUAAGAGUAAAAGAAAACAAAUGUUUCAUAAAUAAGAAUGAGUUUGGAACUCUCGGUGUCAGCAGACGACAACACAACUUUUUAAUAGUAGUGGAGGAGAGUGACUUGGCUUUUUUAAAUAGUUGUGGAGGAGAGUGACUUGGCUUUUUUAAAUAGUUGUGGAGGAGAGUGACUUGGCUUUUUAAAAUAGUUGUGGAGGAGAGUGACUUGGCUUUUUAAAUAGUUGUGGAGGAGAGUGACUUGCUUUUUAAAUAGUUGUGGAGGAAGUGACUUGGCUUUUUAAAGAGUUGUGAGAGAGUGGACUUGCUUUUAAAUAGGUGGAGGGAGUGACUUGGCUUUUUAAAAGUUGUGGAGAGAGUGACUUGGCUUUUUUAAAUAGUGGUUGGAGGAGAGUGAUACUGGAAACUAUUUUACUCCAUAAAGCAAUAUCCAGAAACAAGGGAGCACAAAUGGAAACACAAAUAGAACCGAAUAGAAU
rnacentral:lncRNA from 1 species